CCGGGCUUCCCCGAACUCGCCGCUGCAGCGCCGGACGACGACCAUGCCAGAGCCUGCCCGAUGAGUGCCCGCCUGCCGCGCCACGCAGACCACUGAGCCCAGUGAUCCAGUGUAAUGCUUGGAGGGACUAUGACAGGUGUGGAUGUCCAGAAAGAAACGCAGAAGGAGAAAAUCUACAGUCAGAAACAGGGAGGACAGUGGGCAAAUUGUGGUAAUGUUUCCCAUCUAGAACAUGGCUGAGUUUUUUCAGGAACAGAACUCAAAACCAGUUUUAUUAAUGUGAGAUUUUUCAGCAUGCAAUUCUCCAGGUAAGUUGUGGAUCCAAGGUAAUUUGCUUUAGUAUGUGAUGCUUGCAUGUGUUC